CCUACGGGUGGGCAGCAGUGGGGAAUAUUGGACAAUGGGGGGAACCCUGAUCCAGCCAUGCCGCGUGUGUGAAGAAGGCCCUCGGGUUGUAAAGCACUUUCAGUGAGGAAGAACGCCUGGUGGUUAAUACCCAUCAGGAAAGACAUCACUCACAGAAGAAGCACCGGCUAACUCCGUGCCAGCAGCCGCGGUAAUACGGAGGGUGCGAGCGUUAAUCGGAAUUACUGGGCGUAAAGCGCGCGUAGGUGGCUUGAUAAGCCGGUUGUGAAAGCCCCGGGCUCAACCUGGGAACGGCAUCCGGAACUGUCAAGCUAGAGUGCAGGAGAGGAAGGUAGAAUUCCCGGUGUAGCGGUGAAAUGCGUAGAGAUCGGGAGGAAUACCAGUGGCGAAGGCGGCCUUCUGGACUGACACUGACACUGAGGUGCGAAAGCGUGGGUAGCAAACAGGAUUAGAUACCCCGGUAGUC
rnacentral:rRNA from 1 species